AUGCCUACUCAUACAAAAACGACAGCAAUUUUUUUUAUGUUUGAGCAACGAAUUCGUUGUGUCAAAAUAGUCCUUACAAAGAAGGAAAUGCCCGCUCUCUCGGUUGCGAUUCAAUGCCGGAAGGUGCCCCGAAAUGGAGCCAUGGAACAAUGGCCGCUGGCUAUUGAGGUGGUGAUGGACCAACACGGUAGUCAAGAACUCCUCCUCAUCAUCGGACGAGGAAUCGCCGGAGUUACAAAGGAAAUUGUGAAAAAAGAACUCAUCGACAGAGUCCAUGUUGUACCUUGGCAAACUGUGGAACAACUUGUGGGCGUCGACGAAGGACCCGGCCGGCGAAGGGAGUUGCGCCGCCCUCGGACCAGCUAG
rnacentral:rRNA from 1 species